GAUGAACGCUGGCGGCGUGCCUAAUACAUGCAAGUCGAGCGAACGGACGAGAAGCUUGCUUUUCUGAUGUUAGCGGCGGACGGGUGAGUAACACGUGGAUAACCUACCUAUAAGACUGGGAUAACUUCGGGAAACCGGAGCUAAUACCGGAUAAUAUUUUGAACCGCAUGGUUCAAAAGUGAAAGACGGUCUUGCUGUCACUUAUAGAUGGAUCCGCGCUGCAUUAGCUAGUUGGUAAGGUAACGGCUUACCAAGGCAACGAUGCAUAGCCGACCUGAGAGGGUGAUCGGCCACACUGGAACUGAGACACGGUCCAGACUCCUACGGGAGGCAGCAGUAGGGAAUCUUGCGCAAUGGGCGAAAGCCUGACGGAGCAACGCCGCGUGAGUGAUGAAGGUCUUCGGAUCGUAAAACUCUGUUAUUGGGGAAGAACAGAUGUGUAAGUAACUGUGCACAUCUUGACGGUACCUAAUCAGAAAGCCACGGCUAACUACGUG
rnacentral:rRNA from 1 species